rnacentral:rRNA from 1 species
UCACGGGAUCGUUUCAGAGACGGGGUCUCCCUUGGGGCUCGCUGGCCAUUUUGCGCAGGGUUCUUCUCAGCUCGUCUCGUGAGAUGUUGGUUUAAGUCCCGCACCGAGCGCAACCCUCGUUCUAUGUGGCCAGCACGUGAUGGUGGGGACUCAUAGGAGACUGCCGGGGUCAACUCGGAGGAAGGUGGGGAUGACGUCAAAUCAUCAUGCCCCUUAUGUCUUGGGCUUCACGCAUGCUACAAUGGCCGGUACAAAGGGUUGCGAUACUGUGAGGUGGAGCUAAUCCCAAAAAGCCGGUCUCAGUUCGGAUUGAGGUCUGCAACUCGACCUCAUGAAGUCGGAGUCGCUAGUAAUCGCAGAUCAGCAACGCUGCGGUGAAUACGUUCCCGGGCCUUGUACACACCGCCCGUCAAGUCACGAAAGUUGGUAACACCCGAAGCCGGUGGUACUAACCCCUUGUGGGAGGGAGCCGUCGAAUGGUGAUC